UGUUUCGGCAAGGGGGUCAUCCCGACUUACCAACCCGAUGCAAACUGCGAAUACCGGAGAAUGUUAUCACGGGAGACACACGGCGGGUGCUAACGUCCGUCGUGAAGAGGGAAACAACCCAGACCGCCAGCUAAGGUCCCAAAGUCAUGGUUAAGUGGGAAACGAUGUGGGAAGGCCCAGACAGCCAGGAUGUUGGCUUAGAAGCAGCCAUCAUUUAAAGAAAGCGUAAUAGCUCACUGGUCGAGUCGGCCUGCGCGGAAGAUGUAACGGGGCUAAA
rnacentral:rRNA from 1 species